UACGUAGGGUGCGAGCGUUGUCCGGAAUUAUUGGGCGUAAAGAGCUUGUAGGCGGUUUGUCGCGUCUGCUGUGAAAUUUCGGGGCUCAACCCCGAACUUGCAGUGGGUACGGGCAGACUAGAGUGUGGUAGGGGAGACUGGAAUUCCUGGUGUAGCGGUGAAAUGCGCAGAUAUCAGGAGGAACACCGAUGGCGAAGGCAGGUCUCUGGGCCACUACUGACGCUGAGAAGCGAAAAGCAUGGGGAGCGAACAGG
rnacentral:rRNA from 1 species